rnacentral:lncRNA from 1 species
CGAUCGUGUGUCUACGUCCACGAGAACAAAGCAAAGAUAAUAUUAUUCAGUAUGAAAAAUAGGGUUACAACAUUAUUAUUUAUACUAACUCUAGCCUAGGCACAUAAAGACUUUAAGACUCGUACAAGAAAAUACUCUCAACCCAUUCAGAGUCCAUAGAAACAGGACAGUGAAUUAAACCCGCACAAGACCGAUGCCGUCGCUUCGCUACGCUCCCCUCAUUCCAUUCUGCUCCGCUUCGACAUUGACCUAUUUGAUCCAGGGAAUCUGUGUCUGUGUGUGUCUAUAUAUAUACUAUUACCUUCAAUAAUAAACUAUAAUAUCGAAAAAUAUUAGACGUAGAGCCUGAAAAUUGUCAC